AGAGUUUGAUCCUGGCUCAGAUUGAACGCUGGCGGCAUGCCUUACACAUGCAAGUCGAACGGCAGCACGGGAGCAAAUCCUGGUGGCGAGUGGCGAACGGGUGAGUAAUAUAUCGGAACGGUGCCCAGUAGUGGGGGAUAGCCCGGCGAAAGCCGGAUUAAUACCGCAUACGACCUGUGGGUGAAAGCCGGGGGAUCGCAAGAACUCGCGCUAUUGGAGCGGCGAUAUCCAGAUUAGCUAGUUCGGUGGGGUAAAGGCCUACCAAAGGCGACGAUCUGUAGCAUGGUCUGAGAGGACGANCAAGCACACUGGGACUGAGACAACGGCCCAAGACUCCUAACGGGAGGCAAGACAGAUGGGGAAUUNNUGGACAACUGGGCGCAAGCCUGAUACCAAGCCAUGCCGACGAUGUGGGAAGAAGGCCUUCGAGGUUGUAAACCACUUUCUGUCACGGGAAAGAAACGGCUUUUCUCUAAUACAGAAGAAGCUAAUGACCGGUACCUGAAGGAAUAAAGCAACCNGGCNUAAACUACGUUGCCAAGAC
rnacentral:rRNA from 1 species